AGUCUCUUACCGGACAAAACACACAUUCAAUGCUAAAUCAAGUGCUAUAAACACAGAGCUUGCAAGGGAAAAUGGGAAUUGAAGGCCAAUGAAUAUGCAGAAAGUAAAACAAAAUUCAGACAAGAUUUGGUGCAUGAGACUGCCCCUGCUGUGUGUUUACAUUGUGUGUCAGAAAGCAGGAAGACAUCAGAUGCUGCUCUGAGAGAAGGGUGGCCACAGAUACUGGGAUGAAGAUGUGGUGGAUAAACACAAAGGCCAAGGGACAGGCAGUUAUUCUACAUGAAACAAUGAACUGAAUGAAAGUCAACCAAAAAAGGCACCUUUCAAUAGCUCCUCCCGGCUGACUAGGACCCAUAUACUCUGUCAUCCCUGAUAUGACCCACUGUGUCAAGUC